AUUGAACGCUGGCGGCAGGCUUAACACAUGCAAGUCGAGCGGUAACAGAGAGAAGCUUGCUUCUCUGCUGACGAGCGGCGGACGGGUGAGUAAUGCCUAGGAAUCUGCCUAGUAGUGGGGGAUAACUUGCCGAAAGGUAAGCUAAUACCGCAUACGUCCUACGGGAGAAAGGAGGGGACCUUCGGGCCUUUCGCCAUUAGACGAGCCUAGGUAGGAUUAGUUAGUUGGUGAGGUAAUGGCGCACCAAGACCGCGAUCCGUAACUGGUCUGAGAGGAUGAUCAGUCACACUGGAACUGAGACACGGUCCAGACUCCUACGGGAGGCAGCAGUGGGGAAUAUUGGACAAUGGGGGGAACCCUGAUCCAGCCAUGCCGCGUGUGUGAAGAAGGUCUUAGGAUCGUAAGGCACUUUAAGUUGGGAGGAAGAGCAGUUAACUAAUAUUUGACUGUUUUGACGUUACCGACAGAAUAAGCACCGGCUAACUUCGUGCCAGCCGCCGCCGUAA
rnacentral:rRNA from 1 species